rnacentral:rRNA from 1 species
AUUGAACGCUGGCGGCAGGCCUAACACAUGCAAGUCGAGCGGAUGAAGGGAGCUUGCUCCUGGAUUCAGCGGCGGACGGGUGAGUGAUGCCUAGGAAUCUGCCUGGUAGUGGGGGAUAACGUCCGGAAACGGGCGCUAAUACCGCAUACGUCCUGAGGGAGAAAGUGGGGGAUCUUCGGACCUCACGCUAUCAGAUGAGCCUAGGUCGGAUUAGCUAGUUGGUGGGGUAAAGGCCUACCAAGGCGACGAUCCGUAACUGGCCUGAGAGGAUGAUCAGUCACACUGGAACUGAGACACGGUCCAGACUCCUACGGGAGGCAGCAGUGGGGAAUAUUGGACAAUGGGCGAAAGCCUGAUCCAGCCAUGCCGCGUGUGUGAAGAAGGUCUUCGGAUUGUAAAGCACUUUAAGUUGGGAGGAAGGGCAGUAAGUUAAUACCUUGCUGUUUUGACGUUACCAACAGAAUAAGCACCGGCUAACUUCGUG